GCAGCUCGUUUGAGGCUCAGCCUGUUAGAACUCGGCCUGCAGCGUGUUUGUGGCUCAGCCCGUUAGAACUCGGCCUGCAGCUCAUUUGAGGCUCAGCCCGUUGGAACUCGGCCUGCAGCUCGUUUGAGGCUCAGCCCGUUGGAACUCGGCCUGCAGCUCGUUUGUGGCUCAGCCGGUUAGAACUCGGCCUGCAGCUCGUUUGAGGCUCAGCCCGUUGGAACUUGGCCUGCAGCUCGUUUGUGCCGUUCCAUGUUGCAGUUUUAGGGUUUUUUUUACUUUGAGCAGCCCUGGAUUAUGACAAGUGUCUGGCGAUGUCGUUCCUGACCAGAGCGUGGCUCAGCCCCUGACUGGGGCCCACGGCCAGACCCUCAUUCUGCUGCCCCCCAACUGGGACACCGUGGCUCUCUCAGGAGGAUUCUCACUCCCCAGCCAAGCACAGUCUGUGGGGUCAAACCUGCUGGUGUCCGGAUGGGUGUGUCCUGGUGCUCUGAGGCUCCGGUCCGGGCCGUGGGGACGAGGGAGGCUGAGCGGGUGAAGACGGCUGUGAUGUGUGUGUCACGCCCUGUGCAGGUGCCAGGAGGGGCUGUCGGUCCUCACAGCAGCCAGGGGAGGAAGCUCGUUGUGUUUGUUGCUGAUGAGGAAACGGGGCUGUGGGAGAGAAGUGCUUUGCCGGCUUACGCUGGGCCACAGCUGCCUGCUGCUUUCCUGAGAAGCCGUGCAAGGAAGGUGGCGGCUGAGUGCGCGGAACCUGUCCUGUGUGGGGCCAGGGGUCACGCAGCUGUGCAGGGAAGCAGCCGCAGGCACGGUGCCAUCCAGUGAGCCGGGCUGUAUCCAUUUCACCUUAUUUCAGACACUGAGAUUUGAGUCGCACGUAAUGUUCACAGGCAUGAAAUGUUAUCCUUUUGAUAAUUUUUAAAUUACUUAAAAUCUACCUUGCGGGCGUUACAGCACAGGGUUUGGUCAGGGGCCCGGGUCUGUCUCUCCCUGGUCCUGGCAGCCGUGUAAGCCCAUGGACCCAGAGCAGGGGUCCAGGUUCCAGGCCCUCCUGGGCACUGCUGAAUUCUGUCCCACUGACUUCGAUUUUUUAUGUUUUAUUCUGAGCAUUUCUGUUUCUGUUGAUUCACUAUUUUUUUCUGGUUAUAGAAGGAAUAAUUUUACCAACCACCCAAGCUGCAGCCACGUGUGACUGGUCAGGUUUCUGUGAUGGGGAGAGGGCCUGGCCCUGAGGUCUGUGUCUCACGGCUCUCACUGGGCUCCGCCAGAUGCUCGUUGCCCUGAGGGUGCAGCUGUGGCAGCAUCUGUGGGUGGCUGAGGAGACGGGACGUUCACCAGGCAGUUGCACCCCAAGGGUGUUCUGGGGGCUGCCUCGUGUCCCAGAGCUAGACCCACACGAUGCUGAGCCUCGUGCUGCCGUGAGACCACCCCCGGUCAAAGAGACCCAGUCCCCUGCCUCGUGGCCCUGCGCCAGCCCCGCCUCUGGUGAUGUCUCUUUGGAAGCCACAGCAGGAGGAGGCUGCUCACAGCGUUUGGAGGCUCGACGGCCUGGUCUCCGGGUGUGCACAGCCGGGAUGCAGCAGAAGGAGGAUGAGCUUAAGUCAGAGAGUCCUGGGCUCCAGUUUUGCUUUGACGUUUAUGUUGCUUUAAGAGAAAACAGCUCAGCUGCGCUUUUCUCCUCUCCGUGGCCCUCGUGGCUGAUCUGCAUGUAAGAAGAUUAGAGAGGACCCUGUGUCAACGUUCGCAGCCCACCACAGGCGCUGAGUAAAUGUUGGUCAGUGUUUUUCUCACUUUAUUUUCGAGCUGUCAUUGGCUUGCGAUUUUGUAAAAGGCAGCUGGGGUGUGGAUUGGAGUGGAGCUCUAAGAUGCUUGAGGCAAGAGGAGGCUGUGAACAGGUCUGAGGAUUUGGACUGGGAACCACCCAGCGCAAACCAACUGAGUUCGAGAAAGGCCUCAGUGCCUUGAAAGGCAGCUGCUGUUUACACUUUUCUCAAGACAGAGGCUUCACGUGGUCGCCGUUCACACAAAUGCCGAGCAAGACCCUGGCACCAGAGGUGUGGACUGAAAAUGAAGCCACCAGAACAUCCUGUGACCAUCACGAACCCGGUCGUGGUCGGGGGCCCGUGUGUGUUUGUCAGGCCAGGGCCCUGCUGCCUGCCCUCUGGCUUAAGGAAUCCAGCUGGGGAGAAAUGCUCCCUCUGAGUACCCCUGGGGUUUUGACCCAGCUUGAGGUUGUAAACAGGCGGAGGGGGCCGAAUAGAGAGGCUUUGCUGUGAUAGAGACCUGGGCCUGCCCUGUCACCAUCCGCCGGGAGCCCACGGCAGCCUCGCCCUCCGACACCCGCACGCUGCGUGCGGUGCACUGAACUGCAGGAUGCCUGUGUUGCCGCCAGUUCUGCUGUUUGGGAAAAACUCUCUGUGUUAAGUUGGAUCUUCCUUGUGACUGAUUCAGAGGAGCCACAUUGUUACGGAAGGGCUGGGACCCAGACACAGGGUCCAGAGUGUCCUCGAGGUAUCAGAAGAACUCCUGGCUGGAGAGCAAGUCGAGGGCUGUGUCAUCACCACACCCUCUGUGGGUCCCUGCUCCCGAGUGAGGCUGUGCCCAGCCACUCAGUGACUCAGAAGCUGUGCACACAAGGGCCCUGCUGAAGGACAGCGGCUUCUGCUUCCUCUGAUCCUGGCAGCCUGGAACUUCCUGAGAGGACUGGGCAUGUGGAUAGCCAUGGUGGGGGACGUCCUUUAAACUGGGGAAUGGGCUCCCCUAGACACAGUCGCUUCCACAGGAAUCUUCUAGAGCUUCAUCCAGGGCAGAGCGGACACCCGCAGCAGCCUGGAGUUCCGGGGAGCCCCGGCCGCCUGCCUGCGUCAUGAGGGAAAGGCCAGCCCCCAACCCUUGGGUAGGAAGAGCCCAGGCCUCAGACAGGACAGGCACAUGGGUGAACAGACGGCUUCCCCUUCAGGAGGAGAUGCAGCCGUUCAGAAGCAGACCUCCAGCGUGGGAAAAUCAGACCCAUGGCAUCAGGGUGCAUGAAGGCAGGACACACAGGCCCGUCCCCUGCGAGGGUCAGGACAUGAAGGUGGAACACACAGGCCCCUCCCCUGCGAGGACCAGACACAAAGGCAGACACACAGGCCACGUCCCCCGUGAGGGUCAGGGUGCCCAGGGUCAAGGCUGGAGCCUGAACGCUGUCCGCAGACCGUGGCUGGAUGGAGACUGCCAUGUUGAAAUGCCUGCACAUCUGAUGGAGGUGUGGCCAUGCACAUGAGAGAGGAGGUGGGGGCGUGCACACCAGGCUGUCUUCGCCACUGCGGCUCUCGGGGGGGCCUGGCUGAGGGAGGGAAAAAAGUUAACUUUUUCUACCUGGAGACUUAACUGGCUGGAAUGAAUAUCUAUUUCUUUGGAAUUAAGAACAUUUUAAAAUACAGAAAAAUAGUUUCCUUACGAGACUUUUAAUUUUAAACAUACGCAGAGCUUUCUAAAAGGGACACAGCGUAUAGUUUGGUUUCUGUGGCCAUGUGCCUUCCAUGUGCAUGGAGGAUGGACAGGUGGUUUUGUAACGUGUGUCAUAGUUUGCACCCAGCUGAUUCAGGUGUUAAACCAAAAACAAUUAAUAAAGCAAUGGUGGUGAUCAGUUCAGACAGAGCCCAACCCCUCCCCAUGCCAGGGGCUUAUGCUCCGGAGUGGGAAGCAUGUUCUAAGUGAGACUUGUGUGUGAAUUUUCUACACCUACGCUAAGUAAAAUGGGCAUUUAUUUACAAAGCUCCGAAUUACAUUACAUUUUAUAUUUUAUGUUUAAACUUCAUUAGGAAAAAUUGCCAUUAUUGUUACACGUAAUGAGUUGACUGUCAAUAUUUAAUAUAAACGAAGGAAAUGUUGGCAAAAGAGAAGUUAGACCUAACAUUUUUAUUUAUAAUAAUCUCAAAUGCUGUUAAAUUUGUAAGCAUUUCUGUUGCUUUAUAGAUGUUUUGGAAAAGCUAAUUUUAACUUUUCAAGAAUGAGAAGUUGUCCCCACUGAAA